UACGGAGGGGGCAAGCGUUGUUCGGAAUUACUGGGCGUAAAGGGCGCGCAGGCGGCUGCUCAAGUCAGGCGUGAAAGCCCUCGGCUCAACCGAGGAAGUGCGCCCGAAACUGCAGAGCUUGAGUACCGGAGAGGAUGGCGGAAUUCCCCAAGUAGAGGUGAAAUGCGUAGAUAUGCGGAGGAACACCGAUGGCGAAGGCAAUCCCCUGGGCCUGCACUGACGCUCAUGCACGAAAGCGUGGGGAGCAAACAGG
rnacentral:rRNA from 1 species